GUUUUUAGAUCCCGGAAGUCAGGCAGGCUGGUCUAUUUCAAUUAUAACUUGGUCUUGGUAACAAUAUUUCAACUGUAAUUUAAUGGGCUCAAGCUUCCAGAACUUGAAUUUUACUGCCAAUUAUUCAUUAAAUGUAUUCAAAAUUUUGGGAAAGUCGUUUCAAGAUGGAAAAAUUGGAGCUGAAGAUAGUGCAGAUACCGUUCUUCGAUUGGAUUCUACUGGAUCUUCAGUCCCCUGUG
rnacentral:misc_RNA from 1 species